ensembl:lncRNA
GUAACAGUCAAGAAUGGGCGCGGUUUGAACACAAAUCAGCGUGUCAUGCGCAGAAACGUAAGAAAGUGUGCAGUUUUGGCGAGAUUUUAGCGGGUUUUUAAAAUUUAUCAGGUCUCACAGGAAGCUGAAUUUGGAUUGGAAUGACGAGGAAUUAUUUCACUCUGGCGUGCCUAAUCGUACAUGACUUUGAGGAGACGACGUGCGCUACCAUCCCAGCACGUCGUAUUUGAAUAUGGACAAAAAAACAGAUCAGACAUUAGCAACUGCUAUUGAUCCUCAAAUAGGGGCCGAGCUGUCUGUUUUGAACGCCGCUGCCCGGUCGAUCCCAUCUGACCUACUGUUCACAAGGCUGGCGGUGGUCCAUCCAUCUGAUGAGAACUUCCCUCCUGUCCAGAUCAACCUGCCACCUGCCCAUCAAUCAGUUCCCAACAGCUACAGCUACAUUCAUUUUGAGAUUUGACAAUUAUACAAGUUGGACAACAUCACUCAUUUCUAUCCCAGCAUCAAUGAGCUACAAUCUCCGCUUAUGAGCCACCUUUAAACCCCUCAGCAGACACGCAGCCUAAUGUCAUCUUGGCUGAUGUCGAGACAACAACAUUUACCAACACGUCAGCCUGGCAUCCAAAAGCAUUCGCAAUGUUUCAGAAACCGCGUGACCAAAUUGCUGCUAAAUUGCAGCCUUCACAAGCGCUAUUGCAUUGUGUGUCGCCGUCUAGGCCUGUCUGUUAGAUGAAGAAGACUUUAUGAGGCCGAAACGGAUGAGGAAAGGGACGAGAACAGUCAGUCAUGUGGGAUCGGAGAUGCGGUGAGAACAACGAGAGGGGGACAGACUUGAUGGGAUUUCCGAAAUCCAUGUGGGCCAUGAUGAAUGUCUGAAAUUGGUUUGUCUGGAGCUUGAUAAGUCAUUUGUUUUCAUUAGCCUGAUAGUAGCCUAAGUCCAUAGUGGUAGACUGAUUGGUGUGUGGUUGAGGGAGCUUGGAUGGAGAUGCGGCCUCUCUCCUGUCCUACUCUUCAU